rnacentral:lncRNA from 1 species
UCUAUUCAUUCCCAUCCAUCUACAUUCCCAUCCACUCAUUCCCAUCCAUCUACAUUCCUAUCCAUCUACAUUCCCAUCCGCUCAUUCCCAUCCAUCUAUAUUCCCAUCCACUCAUUCCCAUCCAUCUACAUUCCCAUCCACUCAUUCCUAUCCAUCUAUAUUCCCAUCCACUCAUUCCCAUCCAUCUACAUUUCCAUCCACUCAUUCCCAUUCACUCAUUCCCAUCCAUCUACAUUCCCAUUCACUUGUUCCCAUCCACUCGUUCCCAUCCAUCUACAUUCCCAUUCACUCGUUCCCAUCCACUCAUUCCCAUCCAUCUACAUUCCCAUUCACUCGUUUCCAUCCACUCGUUCCCAUCCACUCAUUCCCAUCAACUCAUUCCCAUCCACUCGUUCCCAUCCAUCUACAUUCCCAUCCAUCUACAUUCCCAUCCACUCAUUCCCAUCCAUGCAUUCCUGUUCACUCAUUCAUGUGCUCAUUCCCAUCCAUCUACAUUCACAUCCCCUCAUCCUUAUUCACUUAUCCCCAUCCAUUCAGUCCCAUCCACUCAUUCCCAUCCACUCAUUCCUGUUCACUCACUCAUCCACUCAUUCCCAUCCAUUCAUUCCCAUCCAUCUACAUUCACAUAUUUCUCUUCAUUCAUUCAUACAUGUUCAACUGUAUUAUUGAUAUUCAUAUUCACUUACUCAUUCACUCAUAUUUAUUCAUUCCACAACAUGUAUGGGGCCUUCAUGGGGCUGGAACAGGUCUUGCCCUCAGGGAGCUCACUGAGAGCUGGGGGAGAUGUUCAUAGACAACCCCACGGCAGUAUUCAGGGGUGGGGUUGAGUUCAGCACCAGGGGCAGUGGAGGGCCCUGGUCCAGGUGAGCCCUGCCUGGGAGUAAAUCCCAUGCCCCCACCAAGUCUCAGAAGGCUUGAGCCCAUGCUCCAGGGUUGCCUAUGAGCAGAGGGCAGGACUCACACCCCUCUGUCCUCAGGCAGGUGCAUCCUCUGGCCCUGGGGCAGGUCAGUCAUCUCUCCCUGGGGCAGGUGGGUCCUCUAUUCCUGGUGCAGAUGUUGAGAAGCUAAGUCUUGGGCAGAACCAGAUGUGAGCAGCCUGAAUUCAGACCCCACAUGAACAAUAGCCACGGGCUAUCUCCUGAACCACCCCUGCUCUCUUUCCACACCCCAAGGAACCACCUCCUGGGCUGUUUAAGUCAGAACUCUUGGAGUACCUGUCCCAUCCUGAC